UUGCUUUAGCAGCACAUGUACUAAAACCGGAACGAUACAGAGAAGAUUAGCAUGGCUCCUGUGCGUGGAUGACACGCAAAUUCAUGAAGCGUUCCAUUGAAAA
ensembl:snRNA U6 U6 spliceosomal RNA